rnacentral:rRNA from 1 species
AUACAGAGGGUGCGAGCGUUAAUCGGAGUUACUGGGCGUAAAGGGCGCGUAGGCGGAUGAUUAAGUCAGUUGUGAAAUCCCAGGGCUUAACCUUGGAACUGCAAUUGAUACUGAUUGACUAGAGUCGAAGAGAGGGAAGCGGAAUUUCCGGUGUAGCGGUGAAAUGCGUAGAUAUCGGAAGGAACACCCGUGGCGAAGGCGGCUUCCUGGCUUCAGACUGACGCUGAGGUGCGAAAGCGUGGGGAGCGAACAGGAUUAGAAACCCCGGUAGUCC